rnacentral:rRNA from 1 species
GAUGAACGCUGGCGGCGUGCCUAAUACAUGCAAGUCGAGCGAACAGACGAGGAGCUUGCUCCUCUGACGUUAGCGGCGGACGGGUGAGUAGCACGUGGAUAACCUACCUAUAAGACUGGGAUAACUUCGGGAAACCGGAGCCAAUACCGGAUAAUAUAUUGAACCGCAUGGUUCAAUAGUGAAAGACGGUUUUGCUGUCACUUAUAGAUGGAUCCGCGCCGCAUUAGCUAGUUGGUAAGGUAACGGCUUACCAAGGCGACGAUGCGUAGCCGACCUGAGAGGGUGAUCGGCCACACUGGAACUGAGACACGGUCCAGACUCCUACGGGAGGCAGCAGUAGGGAAUCUUCCGCAAUGGGCGAAAGCCUGACGGAGCAACGCCGCGUGAGUGAUGAAGGUCUUCGGAUCGUAAAACUCUGUUAUUAGGGAAGAACAAAUGUGUAAGUAACUAUGCACGUCUUGACGGUACCUAAUCAGAAAGCCACGGCUAACUACGUG